rnacentral:rRNA from 1 species
GACGAACGCUGGCGGCGUGCUUAACACAUGCAAGUCGAACGGAGUGGCGAACGGGUGAGUAACACGUGGGUGACCUGCCCUGCACUUCGGGAUAAGCCUGGGAAACUGGGUCUAAUACCGGAUAGUGUGGGAUGGGCCCGCGGCCUAUCAGUUAGUUGGUGGGGUAAUGGCCUACCAAGGCGGCGCAGUGUAGCCGGCCUGAGAGGGUGGACGGCCACAAUGGGACUGAGACACGGCCCAGAGUCCUACUGGAGGCAGCAGUGGGGAAUAUUGCACAAUGGGCGGAAGCCUGAUGCAGCGACGCCGCGUGGGGGAUGACGGCCUUCGGGUUGUAAACUCCUUUCACCAUCGACGCGGUAGAUGGAGAAGAAGCCCCGGCUAACUACGUGCCAGCAGCCGCGAUAAUUC